CUUUUAGAACAGUUGAUUGUGAUCCCAUCAAAUCUCAUAAUUAAUUAUACUCUAAUUUGAGUCCAAGGCAAAUGAGAAGAAGAUAUGGGUUUUCUUAAAUAUCCAUGAAUGUAGAUGCACUCAGUCUUGCUUUAACUUCGUUAGUAGCAGGCUCCCGUCUUUUCACUCUUCAUGCUGAACUGACUAUCCACCUUCCAUUCUCUGGUCCUUCCAAAAAUAUUGACGUCUUCUGGUUUCUACUCGGUUAUUCACCUUCCACUAGUCCAUCCACAAUUUUCGACUAUCUAACUUAAAAUUUUAUUCUGUUAUUUAGUAGCGUUCUGUCAAUAUUUAUUUUAAAGCAUGUAUAGACUUGAUUAGAACUUAAUAAUAAUAAUUUGAGGUUGGAACUUUCACAAAAACGAGAAAUCGUUAACAAAUGCUUCUCUCCUCUCGUACCAACCGAUAAAUCUAAGCAUUGGACUAGACUAUAGAGCACCAUUAGAGAUCAAAUCGACCCAUCAAGUAGCUAAGCAAUCACCAAGCUAAAGGCUUCAGUGAAAUUAGAUUCUGCCUAUAGAGCUCACUUUCCAUUAUUUUCGAGAGGUUUUUCAUGUGCUCUCAUGUUACGAAAUCUCUAUUCAAUCAAAUCCAUAAUUGUAUACUAAGUAAUAAUUGGUUUGAGUGGAGGGAGAAGGACCUACAAAGCACAAAUUUGUCCUGAAUGUGGUAUUCUCUCUCUCCGUCUACGCUUGUCUAAUCUCUGAAACUUGAGGCCCACCAAGGACCACCCAUCAAAACUCAAGCACGACUGUGGAGGUACUUGCAGAAGUUUCAGCAUUAUGUUAAUCCUAAUUAUCUUAGUUUGAGUGAAAUGAGGAUUGUAUUGUCAUGACUAAUUUGUGUGUAACCAAAAUGUGAUAGGUUGCAGUGUAAAUAAGAUUGCCCAUCACCUAACACUGUUCCAACUGAUUUGCCAUUUCUGAGAUUGUUAAGGGCUUUACCCACUGGAUUGGUCUUGUAGGCUUUUGCUUGGUAUAGCAUGCAUAAAAUUUUCUAGUUAGAUUGGUCUCUUCAAUGUUUACUAAAAAGAAACCAACCCUUUGUUGAAAUGACAAAACUGUAAGGCUACUUCGCCCUUAGUUGCUUCUUUCUCGUCAAUGCAGACAUAUAUAAGAAUAUCGAUCGGCAUCUCUUGUGGUUAAUUCGGCAGAAGUAGUUAAAAAUAGAGUAGAAGCUAGAAAAUCCUAAGAAGCUCCAAAGUUCCUGGUAUGUUGCCACACACAAGCACCAUGAUGUUAGUCGGUAUCUUCAUCAUCUGAGGACCUCACACUUUCGUCGGAUUCAAUAGGAAUAUCUUCUGACGUGUUUGGAACUGGUUCUUCUUAAUGGAAUAUCACUAACUGGAUCCUAUCACAGCUACAGCCGAAGUGAUGCCUGUGACAAGAAAGAGACCGCGAAAACUGUAUAAGUCAAGUCUAGCAACUUUUGUUGCAGAAUCUUGAUUUGUGAAUAAG